UUCUUUUCCCCUCUCUCUCUCUCUGGUGAGGUGGUGGUUUUGGUGUGGGGGCACUUUUGCUGUUGCAAUAUGGGCUUGAAUGUAAUUUAGUGUGAUGCACUCAUGUCUAAAUGAUUAACAUGAAAGUUCCUAUAUGGAUUGUUCCUGUGAGGUUUCACUUGAGGUCAUACAUAUGCUACUACAGCUGUUAGUUGAAGGCCUGCUUGAAUCUCCUUGCGCAAUAUGAUGUGUGUUUUUCUGCAGUGUGUGCAAUGUCUACAAGGUUGUUCAGUCAAGAAAAGGCAGCAUGUUAC
rnacentral:misc_RNA from 1 species